GGCCAAGUUUUUAAGGGCGCACGGUGGAUGCCUUGGCACCAGGAACCGAUGAAGGACGUGGGAGGCCACGAUAGUCCCCGGGGAGUCGUCAACCAGGCUUUGAUCCGGGGGUUUCCGAAUGGGGAAACCCGGCAGUCGUCAUGGGCUGUCACCCGCUGCUGAACACAUAGGCAGUGUGGAGGGAACGCGGGGAAGUGAAACAUCUCAGUACCCGCAGGAAGAGAAAACAACCGUGAUUCCGGGAGUAGUGGCGAGCGAAACUGGAUGAGGCCAAACCGUAUGCGUGUGRGACCCGGCAGGGGUUGCGCAUGCGGGGUUGUGGGAUCUCUCUUCUGUCGUCUGCCGGCGACAGGACGAGUCAGAAACCGUUGAUGUAGGCGAAGGACAUGCGAAAGGUCCGGCGUAGAGGGUAAGACCCCCGUAGUCGAAACGUCAGCGGCUCGUUUGAGAGACACCCAAGUAGCACGGGGCCCGAGAAAUCCCGUGUGAAUCUGGCGGGACCACCCGCUAAGCCUAAAUAUUCCCUGGUGACCGAUAGCGGAUAGUACCGUGAGGGAAUGGUGAAAAGUACCCCGGGAGGGGAGUGAAAUAGUACCUGAAACCGUGUGCCUACAAGCCGUGGGAGCGUCGGAAGCACUUCGGUGCUUCUCGUGACUGCGUGCCUUUUGAAGAAUGAGCCUGCGAGUUUGCGGUGUGUUGCGAGGUUAACCCGUGUGGGGAAGCCGUAGCGAAAGCGAGUCCGAAUAGGGCGUUUUUAGUAGCACGCUCAAGACCCGAAGCGGAGUGAUCUAGCCAUGGGCAGGUUGAAGCGGAGGUAAGACUUCGUGGAGGACCGAACCCACCAGGGUUGAAAACCUGGGGGAUGACCUGUGGUUAGGGGUGAAAGGCCAAUCAAACUCCGUGAUAGCUGGUUCUCCCCGAAAUGCAUUUAGGUGCAGCGUCGUGUGUUUCUUGCCGGAGGUAGAGCACUGGAUAGGCGAUGGGCCCUACCGGGUUACUGACCUUAGCCAAACUCCGAAUGCCGGUAAGUGAGAGCGCGGCAGUGAGACUGUGGGGGAUAAGCUCCAUGGUCGAGAGGGAAACAGCCCAGAGCAUCGACUAAGGCCCCUAAGCGUACGCUAAGUGGGAAAGGAUGUGGAGUCGCAGAGACAACCAGGAGGUUGGCUUAGAAGCAGCCACCCUUGAAAGAGUGCGUAAUAGCUCACUGGUCUAGUGAUUCCGCGCCGACAAUGUAGCGGGGCUCAAGCGUACCGCCGAAGUCGUGUCAUUGCAGCAKAUAGCCCCAACGGGUGCUGUGAUGGGUAGGGGAGCGUCGUCUGCCGGGUGAAGCGGCACUGGAAGGUAGUCGUGGACGGUUGACGAGUGAGAAUGCAGGCAUGAGUAGCGAUACAAACGUGAGAAACGUUUGCGCCGAUUGACUAAGGGUUCCUGGGUCAAGCUGAUCUGCCCAGGGUAAGUCGGGACCUAAGGCGAGGCCGACAGGCGUAGUCGAUGGAUAACCGGUUGAUAUUCCGGUACCCGCUGUGAAGCGUCAAACAUCGAAUCCAGUGAUGCUAAGGCCGUGAAGCCGCCCCGGAGCCUUCGGGCRAAGGGGAGUGGUGGAGCCGCUGACCCAAGUUGGUAGUAGGUGAGUGAUGGGGUGACGCAGGAAGGUAGUCCAUCCCGGGCGGUGGUUGUCCCGGGGUAAGGGUGUAGGACGUCGGGUAGGUAAAUCCGCCUGGCAAUAGUCUGAGACCUGAUGCCGAGCCGAUUGUGGUGAAGUGGAUGAUCCUAUGCUGUCGAGAAAAGCCUCUAGCGAGUUUCAUGGCGGCCCGUACCCUAAACCGACUCAGGUGGUCAGGUAGAGAAUACCGAGGCGUUCGGGUGAACUAUGGUUAAGGAACUCGGCAAAAUGCCCCCGUAACUUCGGGAGAAGGGGGGCCACACCUGGUGAUGAGCUUUGCGCUCUGAGCUGGGGGUGGCCGCAGAGACCAGCGAGAAGCGACUGUUUACUAAAAACACAGGUCCGUGCGAAGCCGUAAGGCGAUGUAUACGGACUGACGCCUGCCCGGUGCUGGAACGUUAAGGGGACCGGUUAGCUCACUUUCGGGUGGGCGAAGCUGAGAACUUAAGCGCCAGUAAACGGCGGUGGUAACUAUAACCAUCCUAAGGUAGCGAAAUUCCUUGUCGGGUAAGUUCCGACCUGCACGAAUGGCGUAACGACUUCUCGACUGUCUCAACCAUAGGCCCGGUGAAAUUGCACUACGAGUAAAGAUGCUCGUUUCGCGCAGCAGGACGGAAAGACCCCGGGACCUUUACUACAGUUUGAUAUUGGUGUUCGGUUCGGCUUGUGUAGGAUAGCUGGGAGACUUUGAAGCAGGCACGCCAGUGUUUGUGGAGUCGUCGUUGAAAUACCAGUCUGGUCGUGCUGGAUGUCUAACCUGGGUCCGUGAUCCGGAUCAGGGACAGUGUCUGAUGGGUAGUUUAACUGGGGCGGUUGCCUCCUAAAGGGUAACGGAGGCGCCCAAAGGUUCCCUCAGCCUGGUUGGCAAUCAGGUGUUGAGUGUAAGUGCACAAGGGAGCUUGACUGUGAGACCGACGGGUCGAGCAGGGACGAAAGUCGGGACUAGUGAUCCGGCGGUGGCUUGUGGAAGCGCCGUCGCUCAACGGAUAAAAGGUACCCCGGGGAUAACAGGCUGAUCUUCCCCAAGAGUCCAUAUCGACGGGAUGGUUUGGCACCUCGAUGUCGGCUCGUCGCAUCCUGGGGCUGGAGUCGGUCCCAAGGGUUGGGCUGUUCGCCCAUUAAAGCGGUACGCGAGCUGGGUUUAGAACGUCGUGAGACAGUUCGGUCCCUAUCCGCUGUGCGCGUAGGAGUCUUGAGAAGGGCUGUCCCUAGUACGAGAGGACCGGGACGGACGAACCUCUGGUGUGCCAGUUGUUCUGCCAAGGGCAUGGCUGGUUGGCUACGUUCGGGAGGGAUAACCGCUGAAAGCAUCUAAGCGGGAAGCCUGCUUCGAGAUGAGGACUCCCACCCACUUGAUGGGGUAAGGCUCCCAGUAGACGACUGGGUUGAUAGGCCGGAUCUGGAAGCACAGUAAUGUGUGGAGGUGACCGGUACUAAUAGGCCGAGGGCUUGUCCUC
rnacentral:rRNA from 1 species